UACGUAGGCAGCAAGCGUUGUUCGGAGUUACUGGGCGUAAAGGGUGCGCAGGCGGCGGUUCGCGUGGCGAGAUGAAAUCUCCUGGCUUACCUGGGAGGAUGGUCGCCAGACGGGAUCGCUUGAGGGUCGGAGAGGGGCGUGGAAUUCCGGGUGGAGCGGUGAAAUGCGUAGAGAUCAGGAGGAACACCGGUGGCGAAGGCGGGUCUCUGGGCCGAUACUGACGCUGAGGAGCGAAAGCGUGGGGAGCGAACAGG
rnacentral:rRNA from 1 species